rnacentral:rRNA from 1 species
UACGUAGGGUGCAAGCGUUGUCCGGAAUUAUUGGGCGUAAAGAGCGUGUAGGCGGCCAGACAGGUCAGCUGUGAAAACUCGAGGCUCAACCUCGAGACGUCGGUUGAAACCGUCUGGCUAGAGUCCGGAAGAGGAGAGUGGAAUUCCCGGUGUAGCGGUGAAAUGCGCAGAUAUCGGGAAGAACACCCGUGGCGAAGGCGGCUCUCUGGGACGGUACUGACGCUGAGACGCGAAAGCGUGGGGAGCAAACAGG